rnacentral:lncRNA from 1 species
AACUCCGGUGGCUGGAAGCUGUAAAACGUUGAAGAGGUGGCCGGUGGGCGCAGCUAUUGAAGAAAACUUAGCUGCAAAAAUGAAUACGCAUGCAGAAGUCGUACUGGCGUGCUUCUGCUCCUUCUGCUGCUGCUGAAGUGUUGCUGUGGGUUGGGCCAAGAAUUAGUUGGGCCAAAAUUAAAAUCCUGUUGGGCCAAAAAAUAAAAGCCCAAUGGAGUUGGUCCAAAAAAUAGUUUGGGCCCCAAACACCACCCAAAGCACCAAUUGCCAAGAUCCAAGUCCUUGGCCGCGGCCCGUACCCGACCCGCCCGUCCGGCGGCGACGACGUCGUCGUCCGUCCGUCCGUCCGAU